UAAUGGUGUAUUGGCCAUGGGAGCCCAGAG
rnacentral:piRNA from 1 species